ACAGCAACAUGGCGCCCCUCGUACGUCGAAAUGUCGAGAAUUCAACUUUGGUGUGUGUUUCGUCUCGCCGCGAUCAGCGUCAGCUUGUUUCUCUCAUGUUUUAUUGUGUUUCACCACUUUUGGGAGGCCAAAUCGCGCGCGGGCCAUCCCAAUAUUAUUGAACUGUUCUAACCUGAAGAUGGCUCUGAAGAGGGACCGGCGUUGCUUGGUGAGGCUAGGAGACUGGCUCAAGUCUGCCUGUUUUGAGAAUGUACUGAGACUGUCUACAAUGGCAACGCUUCAUCAACAGAGAGUGAUUCCGUGAUAUCCAGCUUCUACCUGUUGAUACGCCGGCAGCGUCGCUGUGUCGCGGCGCGUCGUCUACGCGAUGGCAAGGCGCUGUCGCGGAUACCCCGGCCGGCAGAGACCGCCCGGACGACCACCCGAUGGCGGGGUAUUUACAGGCUAAGUGGUGACGGCAAGGCGUCCGACGACACAUCCGCGCCCUCCCCCGCCGCCCCCGCUAUGGACGUGAUGGCCGCAGCCCCGCACCGCCUCCACCACGACGAUGGCCUCGGCGACGCCAUCGGCCACCUGACGGACCACU